rnacentral:rRNA from 1 species
AUUGAACGCUGGCGGCAGGCCUAACACAUGGAAGGCGAGCGAGCGGCGGACGGGUGAGUAAGGUAGGGGGACUGACCGAUAGAGGGGGACAACUACUGGAUAAGGGGGCGAAUACCGCAUACUGUCGGAUAACCAUGAUGGGAAAAGCUAGUAGGUAAGGGAAUGGCUUACCUAGGCGACGAUCCCAAGCUGGUCUGAGAGGAUGCUCAGCCACCCUGUGACUGGUACACGGCCCAGACUCCUACGGAGGCAGCAGUUGGGAAAAUUGCACAAUGGGCGCAAGCCUGAUGCAGCCAUGCCACGUGUAUGAAGAAGGCCCUAGGGUUGUAAAGUACUUUCAGUCGGGAGGCGUUACCGACAGAAGAAGCACCGGCUAACUCCGUGCCAGCAGCCGCGGUAAUAC